rnacentral:misc_RNA from 1 species
GGAAGUAAAAGUCGUAACAAGAUCUCCGUAGGUGAACCUGCGGAGGGAUCAUUACAGAGUUCAUGCCCUACCGGGUAGAUCUCCCACCCUAUGUUAUUAUUACUUUGUUGCUUUGGCGGGCCGUUAGGCUCCGGCCCGACUACCGGCCCCGGCUGGUAAGCGCCCGCCAGAGGACCCAAAACCCUGAAUACUAGUGUCGUCUGAGUACUAUAUAAUAGUUAAAACUUUCAACAACGGAUCUCUUGGUUCUG